CCUACGGGAGGCAGCAGUGAGGAAUAUUGGUCAAUGGGCGCGAGCCUGAACCAGCCAAGUAGCGUGAAGGAUGACUGCCCUACGGGUUGUAAACUUCUUUUAUAAAGGAAUAAAGUGAGGCACGUGUGCCUUUUUGUAUGUACUUUAUGAAUAAGGAUCGGCUAACUCCGUGCCAGCAGCCGCGGUAAUACGGAGGAUCCGAGCGUUAUCCGGGUUUAUUGGGUUUAAAGGGAGCGUAGAUGGGGUGUUAAGUCAGUUGGGAAAGUUUGCGGCUUAACCGUAAAAGUGCAAUUGAUACUGGCAGCCUUGAGUACGGUUGAGGUAGGCGGAAUGCGUGGUGUAGCGGUGAAAUGCUUAGAUAUCACGAAGAACCCCGAUUGCGAAGGCAGCCUUCUAAACUGCCACUGACAUUGAUACUCGAAAGUGUGGGUAUCAAACAGGAUUAGAUACCCCUGUAGUC
rnacentral:rRNA from 1 species